UACGUAGGCAGCGAGCGUUGUUCGGAGUUACUGGGCGUAAAGCGUGCGUAGGCGGCGGUCCAUGUCUGGUGUGAAAUCUCCCGGCUUAACUGGGGAGGGUCAUUCGAUACUGUUCGACUUGAAGGCAGGAGAGGGCAGCAGAAUUCCCGGUGUAGUGGUGAAAUGCGUAGAUAUCGGGAGGAAUACCAGUGGCGAAGGCGGCUGCCUGGCCUGUUCUUGACGCUGAGGCGCGAAAGCUGGGGGAGCAAACGGG
rnacentral:rRNA from 1 species